rnacentral:rRNA from 1 species
AGAAUCAACGCUGGCGGCGUGCCUAACACAUGCAAGUCGAUCGAGAAAGUGGAGCAAUCCAUGAGUAAAGAGGCGCACGGGUGAGUAACACGUGACUAACCUACCCUCGAGUGGGGAAUAACCUGGGAAACCCGGGCUAAUACCGCAUAAUACCCACGGGUCAAAGGAGCAAUUCGCUUGAGGAGGGGUCGCGGCAGAUUAGUUAGUUGGCGGGUAAUGGCCCACAAGACGAUGAUCUGUAU